GAUGAAGAACGUAGCGAAAUGCGAUAAGUAAUGCGAAUUGCAGAAUUCCAGUGAGUCAUCGAAUCUUUGAACGCACAUUGCGCCCUUUGGUAUUCCGAAGGGCAUGCCUGUUCGAGCGUCAUUAUCACCCCUCAAGCCCUCGGCUUGGUGUUGGACGGUUUGGUGGAGGCCCCCUCGGGGGUUCCUGCCCCUCCCAAAGACAAUGACGGCGGCCUCGUUGGACCCCCGGUACACUGAGUUCUUCACGGGACACGUAUCGGACACAUGGGUUUACGGGACACGGUCUGCCUCCCCUCAGGGAGAAUCUUUCUAAGGUUGACCUCGGAUCAGGUAGGGAUACCCGCUGAACUUAAGCAUAUCAAUAGGCGGAGGA
rnacentral:misc_RNA from 1 species